rnacentral:rRNA from 1 species
CCCUUAGAUGUUCUGGGCCGCACGCGCGCUACACUGAUGCGUUCAACGAGCCUAUCCUUGACCGACAGGUCCGGGUAAUCUUUGAAUCUGCAUCGUGACGGGGAUAGAUUAUUGCAAUUAUUAAUCUUCAACGAGGAAUGCCUAGUAGGCGCAAGUCAUCAGCUUGCGUCGAUUACGUCCCUGCCCUUUGUACACACCGCCCGUCGCUCCUACCGAUUGGGUGUGCUGGUGAAAUGUUCGGAUCGGCCGUUUGUCGCGGUUUCCGCGUCAUGUGGCUGAGAAGUUCAUUAAACCCUCCCACCUAGAGGAAGGGGAAGUCGUAACA